rnacentral:misc_RNA from 1 species
ACUGAAAAAUUUGGGGAGGGGGCUUUGCUGCUGGCCCCUUUUAGGGGCAUCUGUGCACACCCCUCCCCUUAAUUCCUCUUAUACACCUGUGCAACCUCCUGUGGGCUUGGGGAAACCUGAGCCUGCAUUUUCUUUUUUCCACACACAACUGUACAUAUUUUCCAGUGGAUGCUUGUUGGCUCUUUGAGCCAUAAAAAUAAUUAAUA